UGGAUCACGACGAACGCUGGCGGCGUGCCUAAUACAUGUGGGUCCAACGCGGAAGAGAGGAGCUUGCUCUUCUUGGAUGAUUUGCGGGCGGGUGAGUAGGGGGGAGGUAAGCUGGCUUGCAGCGGGGGAUAACUAUGGGAAACGAUAGCUAAUACCGCAUAACACUGGAUGACACAUGUCAGUUAUUUGAAAGGGGCAAUUGCUCCACUACAAGAUGGACCUGCGUUGUAUUAGCUAGUAGGUGAGGUAACGGCUCACCUAUGCGACGAUACAUAGCCGACCUGAGAGGGGGAUCGGACACACUGGGACUGACACACGGUCCAUACUCCUACGGGAGGCAGCACUAGGGAAUCUUCGGCAAUGGGGGCAACCCUGACCGAGCAACGCCGCGUGAGUGAAGAAGGUUUUCGGAUCGUAUAGCUCUGUUGUAAGUCAAGAACGAGUGUGACAGUGGAAAGUUCACACUGUGACGGUAGCUUACUAUAAAGGGACGGCUAACUACAUGCCAACAGCCGCGGUAGUACGUAGGUCCCGAGCGUUGUCCGGAUUUUUGCGCGUGCUUGUGCGCACGCCGUUUGAUAAGUCUGAAUUUAAACCGCUGUGGUCUCACUCUAGUGCGGUGUGCAUACUGUCAUACUCUGCGUGCACAAAGGCAGUCUAUAACUUCCAACACCUAGCUACCCAUCGCGUACGAUCUAUGACUGCACGGCUAUCUAAUCAUCUUCGCUCUCGUGGCUUACUGACGUUAGACGUCAGUAUUCGUCAGAGGUCGCCUUCUUCACUGCCG
rnacentral:rRNA from 1 species